rnacentral:rRNA from 1 species
AGUGAACGCUGGCGGUAGGCCUAACACAUGCAAGUCGAACGGCAGCACAGUAAGAGCUUGCUCUUACGGGUGGCGAGUGGCGGACGGGUGAGGAAUACAUCGGAAUCUACUUUUUCGUGGGGGAUAACGUAGGGAAACUUACGCUAAUACCGCAUACGACCUACGGGUGAAAGCAGGGGAUCUUCGGACCUUGCGCGAUUGAAUGAGCCGAUGUCGGAUUAGCUAGUUGGCGGGGUAAAGGCCCACCAAGGCGACGAUCGGUAGAUGGUCUGAGAGGAAGAUCAGCCACACUGGAACUGAGACACGGUCCAGACUCCUACGGGAGGCAGCAGUGGGGAAUAUUGGACAAUGGGGGCAAGCCUGAUCCAGCCAUACCGCGUGGGUGAAGAAGGCCUUCGGGUUGUAAAGCCCUUUUGUUGGGAAAGAAAAGCAGCAGGUUAAUACCCCGCUGUUCUGACGGUACCCAAAGAAUAAGCACCGGCUAACUUCGUG